UACGUAGGGUGCAAGCGCUAAUCGGAAUUACUGGGCGUAAAGCGUGCGCAGGCGGCUUUGCAAGACAGAUGUGAAAUCCCCGGGCUUAACCUGGGAACUGCAUUUGUGACUGCAUGGCUGGAGUGCGGCAGAGGGGGAUGGAAUUCCGCGUGUAGCAGUGAAAUGCGUAGAUAUGCGGAGGAACACCGAUGGCGAAGGCAAUCCCCUGGGCCUGCACUGACGCUCAUGCACGAAAGCGUGGGGAGCAAACAGG
rnacentral:rRNA from 1 species